AUUAAUGAAUUUUAUGGCGGAAUUGUAGCUGGCCCCAACCGGGCAUGUGCACAUUCUGUUCAUUCCAUUCUCAUACACCUCUGUGCACUUUACAUAGGUUUGGUAUAGAAAAGGUCUUUAUUGACUUUGGAAAUACCGACCUAUGCUUUUACAAACGCUUCAGUUUUAGAAUGUCAUCCGCGUAUAACGCAAUAAAUACAACUUUCAGCAACGGAUCUCUUGGCUCUCGCAUCGAUGAAGAACGCAGCGAAAUGCGAUAAGUAAUGUGAAUUGCAGAAUUCAGUGAAUCAUCGAAUCUUUGAACGCAUCUUGCGCCCUUUGGUAUUCCGAAGGGCAUGCCUGUUUGAGUGUCAUGGUAUUCUCAAUACCCCAAAUCUUUGCGGAUAAGGGUGUGUUGGACUUGGAGGUUUUUGCAGGUAAUGAUUGUAUUACCAGCUCCUCUUAAAUACAUUAGCAGAGAUAAUACUGCUACUCUCCAGUGUGAUAAUUGUCUACACUGUUAGUAGUGCGGUAUAACAAAAUGUCUAUGCUUCUAAUCGUCUUCGGACAACUUUUGACAAUCUGACCUCAAAUCAGGUAGGACUACCCGCUGAACUUAAGCAUAUCAAUAAGCGGAGGAAAAGAAACUAACAAGGAUUCCC
rnacentral:rRNA from 1 species